rnacentral:rRNA from 1 species
UACGGAGGGUGCAAGCGUUGCUCGGAAUUAUUGGGCGUAAAGAGCUCGUAGGCGGCCUGUUGCGUCCGCUGUGAAAUCCCGGGGCUCAACCCCGGGCCUGCAGUGGAUACGGGCUGGCUAGAGGCAGGCAGGGGAGAACGGAAUUCCUGGUGUAGCGGUGAAAUGCGCAGAUAUCAGGAGGAACACCGGUGGCGAAGGCGGUUCUCUGGGCCGAUAUUGACGCUGAGGAGCGAAAGCGUGGGGAGCAAACAGG